UUCACCAAAGACUACGACAGAAAUUGAAAUAGUCUCUGCGAAUUCCGCCGAUGAUUAUCCACAGAGACGCUUUCACCAGAGGUUUAAAAAGUGAAGAGAGAGGAAUCGAGCGAAGGUAUUAGUAAUAUAUUUUUCUGUCUUCUUGAUUUGUAUUUGAGAUUAGGAAUGAUUUAAUUAGAGAUGAUGAUGUUUACUAGUGAUCUUAGAGAAUGAAUGGUUACCUUAUAGAUAUGUUGUGGAUGCUGGAAACUUGAGAUAAGUGUAGGAAUUGUUUUGGAUGCACACAGGACAACCUAUAGUUGUAGCCAUGUUUGUGUCUCGCCGUGUUUGCUGAAGAAGUUGAUUAAUUACAUCUUAAGACUUAAGUAAACCAUUGUCUCUUUCUCUAGCUUCUCUUCUUUAUAAUCUUAUGUACUUGUGUCUCAUCAUAUGUUUACUUGACUGAUGGUUUGCUCCUCAAAGUGUUGAUACUUUGAGUCCAUAUAUAGCCUUGUGACCCAAGAAUCCGUGUUGAGUCAUUGUUAGUGUUCCCGAUUUCAAAGUCAAGUGCUGCUCACCAGAAAAGAGUUUUUACAGGCUUUAUACAGACAAGAGUUUCAGUAAUGACUUGCAGCCGCAUACCUUUCCUGAAUUAUUGAGAUCGAACCUUGCAAACACACUUCUGACCUUGAAAAAACUAGGUAUUGAUGACCUGUGGUUGUGCACUUCGAUUUUAUCAAUCUCCCAGCUCCUGAAACGCUUGAUGCAGAGUCAUAGAAGUUUUGAAUUACUUGGGAGCACUGGAUGAUGAAGGUAACUUGACAAAUACAUGUGAGAUAAUGAGUGAGUUCCCCUUGGAUCCACAGAUGGCGAAGAUGCUCAUCAGUCAGUCCUGAAUUCAACUGCUCUCGGUUUCAGCCAUGCUUUCAGAUACACCCUUACUUGGUUUCUGCAGCCAUACUUUCAGUUACUCAGUCAUGAAGCAAAUGGUAUUAGUCUCCUCACCUCUAUGCAUCUGCUGACCACUUCCAUGGACAUGUUCUGUUAUAAAAAACAAAUUCUGUAAUUCUCUGCUUUAUUCUGCCAAGAGAGACUCAAAAACCAGCAGAUGAAGCUAAAUCUAGGUUUGGGCACAUUGAUGGAGAUCACCUAACAUUGUUGAGUGUCUAACACGCUUUUAAGCAAAACAGUAGCUGCUCCCUCUCAUUUGUGGUUUCAAAUUUCAGAACAACCACCAAAUCGCCUCACGAUGUUCAUCACAACCUUGCAG